UAUCUGAACCUUCGGGGAACGAUAACGGCGUCGAGCGGCGGACGGGUGAGUAAUGCCUAGGAAAUUGCCCUGAUGUGGGGGAUAACCAUUGGAAACGAUGGCUAAUACCGCAUGAUGCCUACGGGCCAAAGAGGGGGACCUUCGGGCCUCUCGCGUCAGGAUAUGCCUAGGUGGGAUUAGCUAGUUGGUGAGGUAAGGGCUCACCAAGGCGACGAUCCCUAGCUGGUCUGAGAGGAUGAUCAGCCACACUGGAACUGAGACACGGUCCAGACUCCUACGGGAGGCAGCAGUGGGGAAUAUUGCACAAUGGGCGCAAGCCUGAUGCAGCCAUGCCGCGUGUAUGAAGAAGGCCUUCGGGUUGUAAAGUACUUUCAGUCGUGAGGAAGGCGGCGUCGUUAAUAGCGGCGUUGUUUGACGUUAGCGACAGAAGAAGCACCGGCUAACUCCGUGCCAGCAGCCGCGGUAAUACGGAGGGUGCGAGCGUUAAUCGGAAUUACUGGGCGUAAAGCGCAUGCAGGUGGUUUGUUAAGUCAGAUGUGAAAGCCCGGGGCUCAACCUCGGAAUAGCAUUUGAAACUGGCAGACUAGAGUACUGUAGAGGGGGGUAGAAUUUCAGGUGUAGCGGUGAAAUGCGUAGAGAUCUGAAGGAAUACCGGUGGCGAAGGCGGCCCCCU
rnacentral:rRNA from 1 species